AAGCUCUUCUGUAGCUGCUGGACAUCUAGGGCACUAGGGACCUGGGAGGCUGGACCUUCCAACACUGCGGGCAGUAAUAGACAACUUAUGAAGUAAAAAAAGACUCGGAGGAGAAGGUUAGGUGGGAAACGGGAAAGAUUCCAUAGAGGAGCAACAACAAUACCAAAAGCCACCACGAACAAAAAGAAAAAA
ensembl:processed_transcript